rnacentral:rRNA from 1 species
GAUGAACGCUGGCGGCGUGCCUAAUACAUGCAAGUCGAGCGAACAGACGAGGAGCUUGCUCCUCUGACGUUAGCGGCGGACGGGUGAGUAACACGUGGAUAACCUACCUAUAAGACUGGGAUAACUUCGGGAAACCGGAGCUAAUACCGGAUAAUAUAUUGAACCGCAUGGUUCAAUAGUGAAAGACGGUUUUGCUGUCACUUAUAGAUGGAUCCGCGCCGCAUUAGCUAGUUGGUAAGGUAACGGCUUACCAAGGCGACGAUGCGUAGCCGACCUGAGAGGGUGAUCAGCCACACUGGAACUGAGACAGGGACCAGAGUCCUACGGGAGGCAGCAGUAGGGAAUCUUCCGCAAUGGGCGAAAGCCUGGCGGAGCAACGCAGCGUGAGUGAUGAAGGUGUUCGGAUCGUAAAACUCUGUUAUUAGGGAAGAACAAAUGUGUAAGUAACUAUGCACGUCUUGACGGUACCUAAUCAGAAAGCCACGGCUAACUACGUG